GAUCAUGGCUCAGAUUGAACGCUGGCGGCAGGCCUAACACAUGCAAGUCGAACGGUAACAGGAAGCAGCUUGCUGCUUUGCUGACGAGUGGCGGACGGGUGAGUAAUGUCUGGGAAACUGCCUGAUGGAGGGGGAUAACUACUGGAAACGGUAGCUAAUACCGCAUAACGUCGCAAGACCAAAGGAGGGGGACCUUAGGGCCUCUUGCCAUCGGAUGUGCCCAGAUGGGAUUAGCUUAGG
rnacentral:rRNA from 1 species